GUGUCAAACAGGCAUUGGUGCCAUGGCCAGCCCUGGGAGGUCACAUGAAGUGCUGAACCCAUUUGCCUGCAAAGGCCAGAGGAGAGCAGGAUGGUGAGCAGAUUCAGAGAGGCCCAGAGGAGAACAUGCCCAGACCAUGAGUGCCUCCUGUCCUCUGCUGCUCACCUGGAGACAUGUUCCACCUUACACAGGGACACUGAGACAAAGAUAAGUGAUCAGACAAAACCACCAGGCUGGCUGUACUUCUGGGCAUCAGCUGCUGGCAACUGCCUUGGUGAUGCCAUGGGCAUGGCACAGCAGGCACGAUAUUUGCAGAUCUUUGUGUCAAACACGCACUGGUGACAUGGCCAAUACUGGGAGGUCACAUGAAGUUCUGAAACCUUGUGCCAGCACAGGCCAGAGGAAAGCAGGAUGGUGAGCAGAUUCAGAGGUAAGAGGCCAGAGAGAUGGCAUGGAAGGGAAGGUCUGGGACCUGGCCAAGGUGUAAGAGAGAGCUGUGAUGCUGCAGAUUGUGUGUCCACUUGCUUUGUCUUGGACAGCCAGAGGCCCAGAGGAGAACAUGCCCAGACCAUGAGUGCCUCCUGUCCUCUGCUGCUCACCUGGAGACGUCUUCCACUUUCUCCAAAAGCUCUCAUAAAAAGAUAAGUGAUCAGAGUAACACCAGGCUGGCUGUACUUCUGGGCAUCAGCUCAUGGCAACUGCCAUAGUUAUGUCAUGGGCAUGGCACAGUGGAACAAUGUUGGCAGUUCAUUGUGUCAAACAGGCAUUGGUGCCAUGGCCAGCCCUGGGAGGUCACAUGAAGUGCUGAACCCAUUUGCCUGCAAAGGCCAGAGGAGAGCAGGAUGGUGAGCAGAUUCAGAGGUAAGAGGGCAGAGAGAUGGCAUGGAAAAUGGGAUGGUCUGAGACCUGCCCAUGGAGGCAGAGAGAGCUGUGAUGCUAGAGACUGUGUGUCCUCUGUCUUGGACGGCCAGAGGCCCAGAGGAGAACAUGCCCAGACCAUGAGUGCCUCCUGUCCUCUGCUGCUCACCUGGAGACUUCUUCCACUUUCUCCAAGAGCUCUCAUAAAAAGAUAAGUGAUCAGAGUAACACCAGGCUGGCUGUACUGAUGGCAACUGCCUUGGUGAUGCCAUGGGCAUGGCACAGCAGGCACAGGGUUGGCAGUUCCCUGUGUCUCAUAGGCACUGGUGAUCUAGCCAAUACUGGGAGGUCAAAUGAAGUGCUGAACCGCUUUGCCAGCACUGGCCAAAGUAGAGCAGGAUGGUGAGCAGAGUCAGAGGUAAGAGGGCAGAGAGUUGGCAUGGAAAAUGCGAUGGUCUUGGAACUGGCCAAGGUGGAAGAGAUAGCUCUGAUGUGAUAGCUGUGAUUUUACUGACUGUGUGUCCUCUUGCUUUGUCUUGGACAGCCAGAGGCCCAGAGGAGAACAUUCCCAUGAAUGCCUCCUGUCCUCUGUUGCUCACCGGGAGACAUGUUCCACGAUAAACAAGGACACAGAUACAAAGAUAAGUGAUCAGAAAAACACCAGACUGGUUGUACUUCUGGGCAUCAGCUGCUGGCAACUUCCUUGGUCAUGGCAUGGGCAUGGCACAGUGGAACAAUGUUGGCAGUUCAUUGUGUCAAACAGGCACUGGUGCCAUGGCCAGCACUGGGAGGUCUCAUGAAGUGCUAACCACGGUGCCCGCACAGGCCAGAGUAGACCAGGAUUAUGAGCAGAGUCAGAGCCAGAGGCCCAGAGGAGAACAUGCCCAGACCAUGAGUGCCUCCUGUCCUCUGCUGCUCACCUGGAGACAUGUUCCACGUUCUCCAAGAGCUCUUAUAAAAAGAUAAGUGAUCAGAGUAACACCAGGCUGGCUGUACUUCAG